rnacentral:tRNA from 1 species
GCCGGAGUAGCUCAGCUGGUAGAGCAACGCACUUGUAAUGCGUAGGUCGUGGGUUCGAGCCCCGCCUCCGGCUCCA